rnacentral:rRNA from 1 species
UGCGUAGGCGGGUCUUUAAGUCAGGGGUGAAAUCCUGGAGCUCAACUCCAGAACUACCUUUGAUACUGAAGAUCUUGAGUUCGGGAGAGGUGAGUGGAACUGCGAGUGUAGAGGUGAAAUUCGUAGAUAUUCGCAAGAACACCAGUGGCGAAGGCGGCUCACUGGCCCGAUACUGACGCUGAGGCACGAAAGCGUGGGAGCAAACA